rnacentral:lncRNA from 1 species
AUGUGGGAAAGAAGAUGUUGGAUGCCAACAUCCAUGAUUUAGAUCUUAUUCUUUUGCCUAGUCUUUUUAUCCUCCUCUAAAAGAUAAAAUAUUAUGUUGGGAUGAAAAUAUGAUAUCAUACUUAUAUAUUUUAUGGUACAAUUUUCGGGCUUCAUUAAUAAAACUCUAAUCCUAACAUUAAAAAAGCAACACUUGUAAAUUUUCUUUCAGAACUAAAUACAUUAUUACCUAGAAAAGGAAAUGUAAUUUUUAUUUUGUAUCAUUUGCUUUUUUUUUCCUGUAUAAAAAUAAAUAAAUAUUGAAUACAAACUAUCAAUAUGUUUUAAGAUGGUUUAAAACAUGUAUGUCAAAUGGUAAAAAAAAUUAGGGUGGAUUAAAAAUUCAUAUAUUAGCUCUUUAUGCAUCUUGCAUACGUUUUAUAAAUAGUUUUAAACCAUAAACAUUUAACUUCUGAUCAAUUUUAAUCACAAUAACGAGAUCUUGUAUGAUUGAUAUUUGAUAUUUAAACUUUAACGUUAUAUGAGUUUACUAAUAGUUAAAUAAAAAAAUUCAGAAAAAAGAGGGAAAUAAACAAGAUCAGUUAAUAUGUACGAGAUGUUUAAGAAUUUUUUUAUACAUAUACUAGAUUAGAACACCGUUUAUUAAUAACGAGUUAAACAACUAAACAUUAAAUUGUUAGUAAUAAAGAUUUAUGAAUUAUAACAUGAUAUUAUGAUAUAUAAUAUGAUUAAAGUUAACCUUGGUAAAAUAAAAAGUAGAAUAUGGAACGGUGAAAUAAGAGAAGCGGUAAAUGUAUGAAUAAUUUUUUAUGUUGGUCGU